UAAAAAUUUUAAAAAGAAAGAUUUAAAAGUAAAGAAAACUGCCAACUAAUCACACUUAUUUACUCAGAUCUCUAAAUUGGUAUUCAGAGUAAUACUAGUGGAAAGACAAAGAUGAUGAAGUCUCAACUAGAAGCACUUCUUUCUCCGAAAUAUCCGUGUCAGACACAAAAUGCACUAUAGGUAUACAAAGCUUGGAGGAGUUUACUCUGAGCUAAGUACCCAAUACUUGUCUUUACCUCCUUCCUUAAGACCUUUUUCUUCUGGGCAAAAAGAAUAAAGGCCAUAGCUCUCAGAAAAACAACUGUGCCCUCUCAAAAUCUAUUCUUUGCAAUUAAGAAAUGAAUGAUAUAAACCCUUUGACAUUCAGGAACCAUAAGAACAGGGAAUUCCAGAUGCUUCUGUGACGCUUCCAGCUCUUGAUUCCCAUAUGUGUAAGUCUCAGAUCAAGUCUAUCUCUUCAGCGAUACCACUCCAACCCUUCCAAGGGCUCUCUGAACUUUUCAAAAUACCACUUAUUUCUUCAUUUUUUUCAUACAAAGACAGAAGGCCAGGUUCCUUCUUCACAUCUCUGAUCUCCUCAUCCUGUUUGUUCUCACUCCCAAAUGGCUAUUUACUCUGAAUUAGUGGCAAAUUAGUAAACCAGAGAGGUAAUGAGGUAAUAUGUGAGAGUCAGUUCCUGUCAGGACAAUAAUUGUUACAUCACAGAAGAAGCUAGGGCUCUCCUAGUUACAACAGAUUUUUCAUGGAGGUCCUAUUUAUGAUGUCACUGAGAACUGCCAUCUCCUACCUGCUAAACAGCUUUCCUUACAUUUACCAGAUUCGAGGGUGUCCUUUCCAGGAAUAAAGAAAAGGACUGUUUACUGCACGAUCUCUUGAUAUCACGGAACAAUUCUUCCAACACUACAAAGUGAAAUCUCAUAAAGAAAUGGGUACCCGAA